GAUGAAGAACGUAGCGAAAUGCGAUAAGUUAUGUGAAUUGCAGAAUUCAGUGAAUCAUCGAAUCUUUGAACGCACAUUGCGCCCGCCAGCAUUCUGGCGGGCAUGCCUGUUCGAGCGUCAUUUCAACCCUCGAGCCCCCCCGGGGGCCUCGGUGUUGGGGGACGGCACACCAGCCGCCCCCGAAAUGCAGUGGCGACCCCGCCGCAGCCUCCCCUGCGUAGUAGCACACACCUCGCACCGGAGCGCGGAGGCGGUCACGCCGUAAAACGCCCAACUUUCUUAGAGUUGACCUCGGAUCAGGUAGGAAUACCCGCUGAACUUAAGCAUAUCAAUAAGCGGAGGA
rnacentral:misc_RNA from 1 species